CCCUUAGAUGUUCUGGGCUGCACGCGCGCUACACUGAUGCGCUCAACGAGUUUUAACCUUGCCUGGAAAGGUUGGGUAAUCUUUUUAAAACGCAUCGUGAUGGGGAUAGAUUAUUGCAAUUAUUAAUCUUCAACGAGGAAUUCCUAGUAAGCGCGAGUCAUCAGCUCGUGCUGAUUACGUCCCUGCCCUUUGUACACACCGCCCGUCGCUCCUACCGAUUGAAUGGUCCGGUGAAGCGCUCGGACCGCGGCCUCUUGACGGUUUUCCGUCGAUUGGCUGUGGGAAGUUCGUUAAACCUUAUCAUUUAGAGGAAGGAGAAGUCGUAACA
rnacentral:rRNA from 1 species